GAGCAGCAUUUGGUAGAAGUAAUGUCAUUUCUAAGACGAGGUCAUAAAAGAUGGGCACAUUCACACCCGCUGGCUUUCUGUCUCCAGAUCACUGGCUUUGGGGGAAGCAAGUUGCCACGUUGUCAGCAGCCCUGAGGGAAACCUUUGUGCUAAGCCAAGCUUAGAGACAACGUAAAUAUUAAAGGGAAACUGCCCUAAACAAUCAAGAUGAAUCAUUUGCUUGGUUGAAGGGUCGUGUGUGACAGAAGCUGGGAAAUAAAAGAUGGGAUUGUUUUCUUGUCAUCCUGUACCCUUGCCACCUGGCUGCCGUGAUUCUGAUGAGUGGAGAUACAUAAUGGCCAUCUCAAUGCAACGUGCUCCUUUAUUUCCUGGGGGUCAGGCACCAGGAGGACCAGGAGGGCAUAAGAUCUGUUGAAAUGUGACCCUCUUUGGAGCAGGGGUAGGAGUGCCCCGGCAUGUAGAGGGUUGAAGGAAAUGACUUCAAGGCAGAGUUCAUAGAGUUCUGAAAUCAAUAGUUAAAAGUAAAAACACUCAUUUUCAAGAACAAAGUAUAAUUGAAAUGUCCCCAGGGGUGAAUGAGGAGAAGCAAUUUCCUUAUCAAG